CCUCCGCCAAGAUCAGAGUCAAAGCGUCACUAGUACGUCAUUAUCGAACGUUGUAUAACGCUCCCGAACGUAUUUUAACUGCAUUCAUUUUUGGUGGUGACCGGACGAGGGUGUUCCCCUCCCUCUUACCUGCACACAGGGGUGUGGACCAGCACACCUGGGGCUAAUUCCAAUUGAUUGGGAGAGGCGGGGACAUUACGUAAGCCUGUGGUGUGUGGGCUCGUCCUGUUGUCUUCUCCUGCUGCGUGUCUGUGGAGACUGUCCGGGAGGCGCGCUUUAUGUUUUGACCGCUGCCCUAGGUCGUCAUUCUGCUGUCCUGUGGUGUGCGACCCUGUCUUGGUCAUGGAUGUCCCCGUGUGGGUGGAUGUAUGCCUGGACUGCUGCCGUUCGGUGUCUCGGUACGAUGCAUGCACCCCUCUUUCCACACAUUUGGGAGGUAUUAAAAUCUGACCAUCUUAAUUGUUAUAGUGUGGGCCGCUGUCUGUAAGGGUGUGUGCGCAAGGUGGGUGCCACCGCCGGGGUCUGUGCACAUGGGCGGCUUGUCCUGUAAUUCGCCAUGGCAAUGGUGUCUUCGGAGAGUGAGGCUGAAAUCUGAGGUGCAGUUCAUGCACAUCAUCACUUGUGAGACGGGAACAAGCGUGGGGGCUUUCUCACCA